AUUGAACGCCGGCGGCAGGCCUAACACAUGCAAGUCGAGCGGAUGAAGGGAGCUUGCUCCUGGAUUCAGCUGCGGACGGGUGAGUAAUGCCUAGGAAUCUGCCUGGUAGUGGGGGAUAACGUCCGGAAACGGGCGCUAAUACCGCAUACGUCCUGAGGGAGAAAGUGGGGGAUCUUCGGACCUCACGCUAUCAGAUGAGCCUAGUUCGGAUUAGCUAGUUGGUGGGGUAAAGGCCUACCAAGGCGACGAUCCGUAACUGGUCUGAGAGGAUGAUCAGUCACACUGGAACUGAGACACGGUCCAGACUCCUACGGGAGGCAGCAGUGGGGAAUAUUGGACAAUGGGCGAAAGCCUGAUCCAGCCAUGCCGCGUGUGUGAAGAAGGUCUUCGGAUUGUAAAGCACUUUAAGUUGGGAGGAAGGGCAGUAAGUUAAUACCUUGCUGUUUUGACGUUACCAAAAGAAUAAGCACCGGCUAACUUCGUG
rnacentral:rRNA from 1 species